rnacentral:rRNA from 1 species
AGAGUUUGAUCCUGGCUCAGAACGAACGCUGGCGGCAGGCUUAACACAUGCAAGUCGAACGCACCGCAAGGUGAGUGGCAGACGGGUGAGUAACGCGUGGGAACGUGCCCUUCAGUUCGGGAUAACCCAGGGAAACUUGGGCUAAUACCGGAUACGUGCGAGAGCAGAAAGAUUUAUCGCUGAAGGAUCGGCCCGCGUCUGAUUAGCUAGUUGGUAGGGUAAUGGCCUACCAAGGCGACGAUCAGUAGCUGGUCUGAGAGGAUGAUCAGCCACAUUGGGACUGAGACACGGCCCAAACUCCUACGGGAGGCAGCAGUGGGGAAUAUUGGACAAUGGGCGCAAGCCUGAUCCAGCCAUGCCGCGUGAGUGAUGAAGGCCUUAGGGUUGUAAAGCUCUUUCGCACGCGACGAUAAUGACGGUAGCGUGAGAAGAAGCCCCGGCUAACUUCGUGCCAGCAGCCGCGGUAAUACGAAGGGGGCUAGCGUUGUUCGGAAUCACUGGGCGUAAAGGGCGCGUAGGCGGCCUGAUAAGUCGGGGGUGAAAGCCUGUGGCUCAACCACAGAAUUGCCUUCGAUACUGUCGGGCUUGAGACCGGAAGAGGUAAGUGGAACUGCGAGUGUAGAGGUGAAAUUCGUAGAUAUUCGCAAGAACACCAGUGGCGAAGGCGGCUUACUGGUCCGGUUCUGNNGCUGAGGCGCGAAAGCGUGGGGAGCAAACAGGAUUAGAUACCCUAGUAGUCC